GAUGAAGAACGCAGCGAAAUGCGAUAAGUAAUGUGAAUUGCAGAAUUUAGUGAAUCAUCGAAUCUUUGAACGCACAUUGCGCCCGCCAGUAUUCUGGCGGGCAUGCCUGUUCGAGCGUCAUUUCAACCAUCAAGCCCCCGGCUUGUGUUGGGGACCUGCGGCUGCCGCAGGCCCUGAAAACCAGUGGCGGGCUCGCUGUCACACCGAGCGUAGUAGAUUUUCAUCUCGCUCAGGGCGUGCUGCGGGUUCCGGCCGUAAAAAGCCUUAUUUACCCAAGGUUGACCUCGGAUCAGGUAGGAAGACCCGCUGAACUUAAGCAUAUCAAUAAGCGGAGGA
rnacentral:misc_RNA from 1 species